rnacentral:sRNA from 1 species
UUUGGGGGUAUAGUUGACAAC